UGCAAGUCGAGGGGUAGAGUUUCUUCGGAAACUUGAGACCGGCGCACGGGUGCAUAACGCGUAUGCAAUCUACCCUUUACUGGGGAAUAGCCCGGAGAAAUUCGGAUUAAUGCCCCAUAUGCCCACGGAAUCGCAUGGUUCAGUGGGGAAAGUUCCGACGGUAAAGGAUGAGCAUGCGUCCCAUUAGCUAGUUGGUGAGGUAACGGCUCACCAAGGCAACGAUGGGUAGGGUCCUGAGAGGGAGAUCCCCCACACUGGUACUGAGACACGGACCAGACUCC
rnacentral:rRNA from 1 species